GCCGCCGCGUGCGCGCCGGUUGCGCCGCGAGUGGAGGAGCGAAACAGCGGGAUGCGAAUAGAAAGCUUUAUAUGCUGAGCGUGAGCAUUCCAUAGUGUGGAAUAUUAUCAACACUGUUUUCAGAACAAAUCCAAAACAUGGCUCCAUAGUAGCUAAAGAAAAUUAACUCCACCCCAGCCAAAACCAGCACAUAAAGAUACCAGCCCAGUGUUACACUGAAGACACAAAAACCCAUCACUGGUGUCUGGAAAAUACCCAACCUGAUACAAUGAAGAAGUAAAUGUAUCAAAUGUUACCUAAGUUGUGAAACAGUCUUGGAUAAUAAGCUGCCUAACAUAAUAGAAAUGUACUAACUGAAGAACAUAGUGAAAGUUUGUAGACAGUGAUGCAAGCUCCCAGCACAGAAGAGUGAGAAGAGACACAUUUGAACAUUUCUGCUUGUUCCAUUUUUGAGACAUUGCUGAAAGACUACAUGAAUAUAAGAGAAAAUGUGUUCAUAA